GAUGGGAGCUUGCUCCCUGAUGUUAGCGGCGGACGGGUGAGUAACACGUGGGUAACCUGCCUGUAAGACUGGGAUAACUCCGGGAAACCGGGGCUAAUACCGGAUGGUUGUUUGAACCGCAUGGUUCAAACAUAAAAGGUGGCUUCGGCUACCACUUACAGAUGGACCCGCGGCGCAUUAGCUAGUUGGUGAGGUAACGGCUCACCAAGGCAACGAUGCGUAGCCGACCUGAGAGGGUGAUCGGCCACACUGGGACUGAGACACGGCCCAGACUCCUACGGGAGGCAGCAGUAGGGAAUCUUCCGCAAUGGACGAAAGUCUGACGGAGCAACGCCGCGUGAGUGAUGAAGGUUUUCGGAUCGUAAAGCUCUGUUGUUAGGGAAGAACAAGUACCGUUCGAAUAGGGCGGUACCUUGACGGUACCUAACCAGAAAGCCACGGCUAACUACGUGCCAGCAGCCGCGGUAAUACGUAGGUGGCAAGCGUUGUCCGGAAUUAUUGGGCGUAAAGGGCUCGCAGGCGGUUUCUUAAGUCUGAUGUGAAAGCCCCCGGCUCAACCGGGGAGGGUCAUUGGAAACUGGGGAACUUGAGUGCAGAAGAGGAGAGUGGAAUUCCACGUGUAGCGGUGAAAUGCGUAGAGAUGUGGAGGAACACCAGUGGCGAAGGCGACUCUCUGGUCUGUAACUGACGCUGAGGAGCGAAAGCGUGGGGAGCGAACAGGAUUAGAUACCCUGGUAGUCCACGCCGUA
rnacentral:rRNA from 1 species